ACUAGCCCAGUAAGAACAUCACGAUAUCUCACCGUCACGGAGGUAAAGGUGGGUAGAAAACACAAAAAGACCAAUGGAGCAUAAUUUACAACAAACUCGUUUAUUAACAUGAAAACCUUUACCAUCCACUUACCUCGGUGGAAUUUAUGAAAACAAUAUAAGAAAAACAAUAACAUUAUCAUAAUCAUUGAAUAAUAUAAGCUGUAAAACAUAACACUUAUCACGCCUCUUGUAAUUCAAUCAUUAUAC
rnacentral:lncRNA from 1 species